UGUAAAUGUGAUAAUUUUCUAUUAAAUAUAUAUAUACAGCAUAUAUAAACUUUCAAUUAUCCGGCAUAUUCAAAAAUCCGCCACUCCUCAGGUCCCGAGGUUGCCGGAUUUUUUGAAUGUUUACCUGUAUUAUAUCGAUGUUCAACUUUUUUUACUAUGCCAGUUACUUUUCUAUACUAAGCUGUUUGGCCAUCUACUCUCUUUUUUAUAUAGAUCAGGUUCUCUCAACCCGAUAUCUGAUUGUAUACAACUAUGCAGCUAAAUGCGCUCGCUCACUCGGGAGAACCCACUCUCUCAGUCCUAAGAACUUUAUAUAUUUAAAAAUUUAUUUAUCGCAAUAAAUAAAACAAGUAUAUUGGAAUAAAAUAUUUAUUUCUCUGUUUUGGAAAACCAAAGUUAAAAAAAAAAA
rnacentral:lncRNA from 1 species